rnacentral:lncRNA from 1 species
GAGCGCGCUCUUUCCGCCCCCUUCUCGCGCGUGAGCGCGCCCUAUCGGCUCCCGGCGCGUCAACAUUCCGCGGGCCAGGCCUUGGGGUGCGUCUGAGGAGGGGGAUGUCUGUGGCCUCUCCGCCCACACUUCCUCCACCCACCGCCCGCAGCGCCCCAGAAGGACCUAUUACUCGUUUGGCUUCUGAAGGCCGAAGCCAGGCUCUGGCGGGGAUAGAACCCUGAAGGGCCUGCGCCAGCUCCAACUUAGGGCCCUGUGCGUCGUUGCGACUGCCGCUACCACCCCAUCACGCGGCACCCCCGCCCCAACUCCGCCCGGGUCUCUGAAGAGGCAAUAGGCCUUUCAUCUCCGGGGAAAGUCUCACCUUGGCCCUCAGACACCCGCCAAGAGGGGUCGGAAGGACAGAAUUAGCAUACAGAAGAGGGGCUAGAGCACUUUGCAGGCUCUGGCCCCAGGAAUCCUUGACAGGAAGCGUGGGGUUGCUGCCCAGCCUCCCACGCAGUGCAGUGCCUGAUGGCUGAGAAGAAUCGCAGAGGACUAGAAAAGGUUUGAGUCUGAAAUUAUCUGGCACAGAGGAUUAGAGCUCAGAAAUAAGUGAUUGCGAAACAGUUCAACUUCCCUGUUAAUGACAACAACAACAACAGCAACACGCUUAUUAAUUCCUAGCUGGAGUUUUU